GAGAUCGAGGCACAGCUAGGUUACGACAUAGUACCGCGCGACUACUUCUUCCUCAAAAGCGUCGGAAGAUGUUUAGCGCAGGUACGAGCGAAACAGGAACAUCAGCUCAAAGUAAAACACUUCUGCCCGCCGCUGGCGAUCCUGCCGGAACUCUUCAUCCUCACCAAUGACGUGCGGUCGCGCGCUCACACGGUCAGCGCGAGUGAGCGUAGCGA